rnacentral:rRNA from 1 species
AGCCCCUUCCCCUUUUCCGGGAGGGGCAGGCACGUCACGGGAUACAUUCUUGUCAAGAGGGAAGACAUGAUCUGAGCAACCCCGCGUCGAGUGAAUGAAAAGGAAUUUUCUGUUUCGUUAAAAACUAUCUUCUUUUGGGGAAGGAAACAAAACAGGGUAGGUAGAAUGUGCUUCAUCAUCGUCUGGUGCCGUAAUCAAGAAAAGACACGGGCAAACUAACGUUGCCAGCAGCCCGCGGUAAUAUAUAGGUGGCAAGCCGUUAUCUGGAAUAUUGGCGGAAAGAGCGCGUAGGCGGUUUUUUUAGUCUGUUGUGAAAAGCCCACGCCUCACUCCCGGAGGGGUCAUUGGAAACUGGGAAACUUGAGUGCAGAAGAGGAAAGUGGAAUUCCAUCUGUAGCGGUGAAAUGAGCAGAGAUAUGGAGGAACACCAGUGGGGAAGGAGGCUUUCUGGUCUGUAACUGACGCUGAUGUGCGAAAGAGUGGGGAUCAAACAGGAUUAGAUACCCUGGUAGUCCACGCCGUAAACGAUGAGUGCUAAGUGUUAGGGGGUUUCCGCCCCUCAGUGCUGCAGCUAACGCACUAAGCACUCCGCCCGGGGAGUACGACCGCAAGGUUGAAACUCAAAGGAAUUGACGGGGGGCCGCACAAACGGUGGAGCAUGUGGUUUAAUUAGAAGCAACGCGAAGAACCUUCCCAAAUCUUGACAUCCUUUGAAAACUCUAGAGAUAGAGCCUUCCCCUUCGGGGGACAAAGUGACAGGUGGUGCAUGGUUGUCGUCAGCUCGUGUCGUGAGAUGUUGGGUUAAGUCCCGCAACGAGCGCAACCCUUAAGCUUAGUUGCCAUCAUUAAGUUGGGCACUCUAGGUUGACUGCCGGUGACAAACCGGAGGAAGGUGGGGAUGACGUCAAAUCAUCAUGCCCCCUAUGAUUUGGGGUACACACGUGCUACAAUGGACAAUACAAAGGGCAGCUAAACCGCGAGGUCAUGCAAAUCCCAUAAAGUUGUUCUCAGUUUGGAUUGUAGUGUGCAACUCGACUACACGAAGCUGGAAUCGCUAGUAAUCGUAGAUCAGCAUGCUACGGUGAAUACGUUCCCGGGUCCUGUACACACCCCCCGUCGCACCCCGAGAGUUUUAACACCCGAAGCCGGUGGAGUAACCAUUUAUGGAGCAAGCCGCCAAAAGGGG